GACGAACGCUGGCGGCGUGCUUAACACAUGCAAGUCGAACGGAAAGGCCCUGCUUUUGUGGGGUGCUCGAGUGGCGAACGGGUGAGUAACACGUGAGUAACCUGCCCUUGACUUUGGGAUAACUUCAGGAAACUGGGGCUAAUACCGUAUAGGAGCUCCUGCUGCAUGGUGGGGGUUGGAAAGUUUCGGCGGUUGGGGAUGGACUCGCGGCUUAUCAGCUUGUUGGUGGGGUAGUGGCUUACCAAGGCUUUGACGGGUAGCCGGCCUGGGAGGGUGACCGGCCACAUUGGGACUGAGAUACGGACCAGACUCCUACGGGAGGCAGCAGUGGGGAAUAUGGCACAAUGGGCGGAAGCCUGAUGCAGCAACGCCGCGGGCGGGAUGACGGCCUUCGGGUUGUAAACCGCUUUCGCCUGUGACGAAGCGUGAGUGACGGUAAUGGGUAAAGAAGCACCGGCUAACUACGUG
rnacentral:rRNA from 1 species